rnacentral:rRNA from 1 species
GUCCCUAUCCGCUGCGCGCGUUGGAGAAUUGAGAAAGGCUGUCCUUAGUACGAGAGGACCGGGACGGACGAACCUCUGGUAUGUCAGUUGUACCGCCAGGUGCAUGGCUGAUUGGCUACGUUCGGGAGGGAUAACCGCUGAAGGCAUCUAAGCGGGAAGCCUGUUUCGAGAUGAGUUCUCCUGGCACCCUUUGGGUGUGUGAGGCUCCUUAGAGAUGAUGAGGUUGAUAGGCCGGGUAUGGAAGCGUUGUAAGGCGUGGAGUUGACUGGUACUAAUAGGCCGAAGACUUAUUCACA